ACGAUUUUGAUAGAAAAUUUUUUUUUUUUUUUUUGUUGAUAUUAACCCUUUUUUAUUUUUAUAAUUGCAAAAUUUUCUAUCUAUGGGAUUAAAGGUGGCCUCUCGCUCUACCAGAACCAAAUUUUGUAAAAAAAAAAUUAUUAAUUAUUAUUGUAAUUCUUACUACUACAACUUAUUCACAUACACACACACAUAAGAUAUUUGUUUAAAAUUAUUAUGGCAAGAGAUAUUUCGUGAGCGUGGAUUUCGGCAAGAGAGAUUUCGUGAGCGUGACUAUGAAACCUCCUAAUACAAUAUAUAUAUAUAUAUAUAUAUAUAUAUAUAUAUUCCAGCCCUACGAGACUGAAGCCAUUAAUUCAGGAAUCAAGAGUUACUUUACUUUGCCAAGCUUGUUCCGGCUUCCUUCUGCAGAGGACAUGGAGGAUGUUAACUCGGAGGACGGGUCCAGGAGUACUAGUGAUUGGAUGAUUAAUAGCGAGUUUUGGUAUUUCAUUGUGUUUUUCAUUGUGUAUGGGUCGCCUGUAUAGUAUUGUUCGUGUGGUUUAUUAAGAGUUUUGUGGAACAAGUACAUCUCUUACAAAAUAUUAAAGAUCCAAACCAUGAUAUUAAAGAAGAUUGGUUUGCUACAUUUUAUGGAUU